AGCGAACGUUAGCGGCGCGCCUAACACAUGCAAGUCGCACGGAGUAGCAAUACUCAGUGGCGCACGGGUGCGUAACACGUAGAUAACCUGCCCUGAAGAGGGGGAUAACGUUCCGAAAGGAGCGCUAAUACCGCAUAACGCCGAGAUGGGUUCGCCUGUUUCGGACAAAGGCUGGGACCGGCAACGGCCAGGCACUUUGGGAGGGGUCUGCGGCCCAUCAGCUAGUUGGUAAGGUAAUGGCUUACCAAGGCAAAGACGGGUAGCUAGUCUGAGAGGAUGAUCAGCCACACUGGUACUGGAACACGGACCAGACUCCUACGGGAGGCAGCAGUGGGGAAUCUUGGUCAAUGGGCGCAAGCCUGAACCAGCGACGCCGCGUGAGUGAUGAAGGCCUUCGGGUUGUAAAGCUCUGUGGGGAGGGACGAAAGACUGAGGUCUAAUAGGCUUCAGGUUGACGGUACCUCCUUAGCAAGCACCGGCUAACUCUGUGCCAGCCGCCGCGGUAA
rnacentral:rRNA from 1 species